UACGAAGGGUGCGAGCGUUAAUCGGAAUUACUGGGCGUAAAGCGCGCGUAGGUGGUUCAGUAAGUUGGAUGUGAAAUCCCCGGGCUCAACCUGGGAACUGCAUCCAAAACUGCUGAGCUAGAGUACGGUAGAGGGUGGUGGAAUUUCCUGUGUAGCGGUGAAAUGCGUAGAUAUAGGAAGGAACACCAGUGGCGAAGGCGACCACCUGGACUGAUACUGACACUGAGGUGCGAAAGCGUGGGGAGCAAACAGG
rnacentral:rRNA from 1 species